rnacentral:rRNA from 1 species
UACGUAGGGUGCAAGCGUUAAUCGGAAUUACUGGGCGUAAAGCGUGCGCAGGCGGCUUUGCAAGACAGAUGUGAAAUCCCCGGGCUUAACCUGGGAACUGCAUUUGUGACUGCAUGGCUGGAGUGCGGCAGAGGGGGGAUGGAAUUCCGCGUGUAGCAGUGAAAAUGCGUAGAUAUCUGGAGGAACACCAGUGGCGAAGGCGGCAUCCUGGACCGGCAUUGACGCUGAGGCGCGAAAGCUAGGGGGAGCAAACGGG